GGAGUCGUGCCCGGAGCUGCCCGUGGAGAGCUCGGUGACUUCGCUCCCUCCCACUUUGAGGACCAGCUUCAAGGGCUUCUCUACAUACUCUUAAAUGAAAGGAAAGGGCUUCAAUUAAAGGAGGCCCUCGCGGGGCAUAUUGAACCCUGCACUGGAUGCCAGAUCCAGCAAAUCCAGCACCUUGGUAACUGAAGGAUUGUAACUUAAAAAACAACAACAACAGAAAACUUAUGUGAUGAUAUGUAAAGGCCUCCAAGACCUUAAUUAAAACAACAUCAACAAAGUAUGGAGCAGAGUGUAUUUGAGAUCUUACCUAGGUCCCAAAGUAUUGACAGCAGUGAAAAGUGAGUAAGAAGCUGAAGCAGAGAACACUUCACAGAAAAACGUUCCUGGGAGAUAGAAACCUCAACUCAUCUACUUUUUUAUUCCCAGCCCAAGGAUAGUGCCUCGUACCUAAAAGGCACCAGAAAGUUCUAGUUGAAGUGAACAUGUUAGAGUCAGGCAGAGUCUAAAAUGACCCCUCAAGAUUCCUCCCUCCUGGUAGUCACUUCUGCCAAUUGACCGUGGACUGGCCUAGAGACUUACUUCUGACCACAGAAUAUGGCAAAAGUGAUGAGAUGUCACUUCUGUGAUUUGGUUCCAGAAGAUUGUGACUUUUCGUCUUGUUAGCCAACUCUAUUGUCUUCUUGGCUCGUGUGCUUCGGUGAAGCAAGCUGCCAUUUUGGAUAGGCUCACGUGCAAGGAAUGGAGGGCAGGCUCUAACCAAUACCCCGUAAGAGCUGAGGCUGUCAGUCCAGCAGCCCUUGAGCCAUUGGUCCUGCCAACAACCACCUGAGCUUCAAAGUGAAUCCUUUCUCAGUGGAGCAUUCAGAUGAGACCUCAGCUCUGGCUCACACCUUGAUUACAGACUUGGAGAGACCCCAAAGCAGAAGACCCAGGGAAACUAUGCUCAGACUCAU